rnacentral:tRNA from 1 species
UGUCCAAUGGUGUAACGGCAACACGUCUGGUUUUGGUCCAGAAGACUCCAGGUUCGAAUCCUGGUUGGACAA